rnacentral:misc_RNA from 1 species
CUGAAUCUACAUAAUAGAGCCAACUGGAAAUCUGAUACUUCUGCAGUAUUUUGAGAUCAACUACAUGUACCAUGGGGAUGUACCAUAUGUGUGGAUGUGUGAAAUGAAUGUGAUCAUAGACUUAUAGAAUGAAAGGGACCAGAUUAAUGUGCAUGUAUUUCAUUUAUUAUUGUACAUAGUAUACGCAUUUUUUUUAAAAUCAAGAUUUUAUGCAUUCCAUGAUUGUAAUACAUGUAUACAUAUCUCUCAGAAUAAAUUUUAUUCAGACAU